GACUGAACGCUAGCGAUGUGUGCCCUGAACCCUCCACUGUAAAACACAUGGCACCCAAUUCCUAUGCACACACCUCGUGCCUCUGGUCCUCUACUUUUAUAUAACGUGGCCACCACUCCAGUGUCAGCACAACAGUGUAGGAAGGAGAGACUGGACUGGGAAAUCUUGUUGGAGUGGGAGGGUCGGCAAAAAAUGAAUAGAGAAAACCCACUCUUGGAUUUCUUGCCUAUGCCUCCCAUUCCUACAGUCUUUUCACUAAGCUUUAUCUCCAUUCUCCCAUUCCUUCAUUCUGUUCUGAGAAGGAUUAAGGGUAAAUAGGGGGACUGGAGUGGGGAUCUGGGCAAGAACAUAAUUUUCUAUACGGAAAAAUAAAUGGGUUCUUGCCUAUUCCACCCAUAUAAUUCUUCCCCUGUCUUCUUGUCCAUGUUAUCCAAAUGAUGGAGAACUACAAAUGAUGGUUGAACGAGCACGCCACAUAUUGGGGAAUUUCUAACAUGCCCAGAUCUGGAAUUAUUGUAUAUUGAUUAUUGAGAUGUGUUAUUUGUUUCAGAUUGUUCCUUAAAAGGAAAAAUAAAUGAGAAAUUUUGUUCUUGAACCAGAAAGAGAAAUUUCUCCAAUUAAGUUCAGUGAUGAUUUGUUCUGUUUC